AUUAUGGAUUAGGGAUUAUGAUUUAAGGGUUGGGAUUUAAGGUUUAGGGGUUAGAUGGUUAGGGGUUUGGGGGUUAGACACGUUAGGGGUUAAAAGUUAGGGAUUCAGGGGUCGGGUUAGGGUUUUAGGUUUAGAUUAAUUAUUUUUUAAUUUAUAUUUUAAAUAUGUUCUUAUAUGAUUGUAAAAGAGAUAAUAAUAAAUUUGUUUAGGGUUUUUAGUUUAGGGUAUAUGAUUAAUUUAAGAUUUAAGGCCGGUUUAGGAGCUCAUAUGUUAAGGAUUAGGGAGUAUGAAUUUAGGGAUUAUGGAUUAGGGAUUAUGGUUUAAAGGUUGGAAUUUAAGGUUUAGCGGUUAAGGGUUUAGGGGUUAGACAUUAGGGGUUAAUAGUUAGGGAUUUAAGGUUUAGGGAUUCAGGGGCCGGGUUAAGGUUUUGAGUUUAGAUUAAUUAUUUUUUAAUUUAUAUUUUAAAUAUGUUCUUAUAUAAUUGUAAAAUAGAUAAUAAUAAAUCAAAUAUAUUGAAAUUAUGAGCAUAGUUUAAAUUAUUUAAGAGAUAUAUAAUAGAUAGACUUUAUAUGUAUUGAAUGGUUAAUUUAGGGUUUAAGGUUAAGGUUUACUUGAGAUUUGUUAAUAGAUAUAUAAUGAUAUGGAUAUAUAGGUACUUAUUUAAUUUGGAUAAUUCUAACUUAAUAAUUAAUUACAACCAUUUUAUCAUUUGUUUUCUUAUUAAAAUACAUAAUAUUUAUUUUGAGAGUACUUGUUUUUUUUUU
rnacentral:lncRNA from 1 species